UACGUAGGGGGCGAGCGUUGUCCGGAUUUAUUGGGCGUAAAGAGCGUGUAGGCGGCCAAGCAGGUCCGCUGUGAAAACUCGAGGCUCAACCUCGAGAGGUCGGUGGAAACCGUUUGGCUAGAGUCCGGAAGAGGAGAGUGGAAUUCCCGGUGUAGCGGUGAAAUGCGCAGAUAUCGGGAAGAACACCCGUGGCGAAGGCGGCCAUCUGGACCGGAACUGACGCUGAGGCGCGAAAGCCAGGGGAGCGAAUGGG
rnacentral:rRNA from 1 species